AGCAGGCGCGUAAAUUGCCCGAAUCCUGACACAGGGAGGUAGUGACAAGAAAUAGCGAUACAGGGCUCUUGAGUCUUGUAAUUGGAAUGAGUACAAUUUACAUCUCUUAACGAUGAUCAAUUGGAGGGCAAGUCUGGUGCCAGCAGCCGCGGUAAUUCCAGCUCCAAUAGCGUAUAUUAAAGUUGUUGCAAUUAGAACGCUCGUAGUCGGAUUUCGGGGCGUUCCGACCGGUCUGCCGAUGGGUAUGCACUGGCCGGAGUGUCCUUUUUGCCGGAGACCGUGCCUACUCUUAACUGAGCGGGGGCGGGAGACGGCACCUUUACUUUGAAGAAUCAGAGUGUUUCAAGCAGGCAGCUCGCUCUUGCAUGGAUUAGCAUGGGAUAAUGAAAUAGGACUUUGGUGCUAUUUUGUUGGUUUCGAACACCGAAGUAAUGAUGAGAAGGGACAGUCAGGGGCACUCGUAUUCCGCAGAGAGAGGUGAAAUUCUCAGACCCGCGGAAGACAAACCACUGCGAAAGCAUUUGCCAGGGAUGUUUUCACUGAUCAAGAACGAAAGUUAGGGGAUCGAAUAUGAUCAGAUACCGUCGUAGUCUUAACCAUAAACCAUGCCGACUAGGGAUUGGAGGAUGUUCACUGAUUGACUCCCUCAGCACCUUACGGGAAACUAAAGUCUUUGGGUUCCGGGGGGAGUAUGGUCGCAAGGCUGAAACUUAAAGGAAUUGACUGAAGGGCACCACCAGGUGUGGAGCGCUGCGGCUUAAUUUGACUCAACACGAGGGAAACUUACCAAGUCCAGACACUGUGAAGGAUUGACAGAUUGAGAGCUCUUUCAUGAUUUAAUGGGUGGUGUGCAUGGCCGUUCUUAGAUGGUGGAGUGAUUUGUCUGGGUUAAUUCCGUUAACGAACGAGACCUUAGCCUGCUAAAUAGUGACACGGAACUCUUUGUUGGCGGCCACUUCAUAAAGGGACAACUUGUCCUACAACGAGUGAAGUAUGAGCAAUAAUCGGUCUGUGAUGCC
rnacentral:rRNA from 1 species